rnacentral:rRNA from 1 species
AGUGUAGGCGGUCAAGCAAGUCAGGGGUGAAAGGCAUCGGCUCAACCGAUGUAAGCCUUUGAAACUGUUUGACUUGAGUGCAGGAGAGGUAAGUGGAAUUCCUAGUGUAGCGGUGAAAUGCGUAGAUAUUAGGAGGAACACCAGUGGCGAAGGCGACUUACUGGACUGUAACUGACGCUGAGGCUCGAAGGCGUGGGGAGCGAACA